GGGGGAUAUUGCACAAUGGAGGAAACUCUGAUGCAGCAACGCCGCGUGAGGGAAGACGGUUUUCGGAUUGUAAACCUCUCUCCUUGGUGACGAAACAAAUGACGGUAGCCAAGGAGGAAGCUCCGGCUAACUACGUGCCAGCAGCCGCGGUAAUACGAGGGGAGCUAGCGUUGUCCGGAUUUACUGGGCGUAAAGGGUGCGUAGGCGGCCUUGUAAGUCAGAUGUGAAAGGCUACGGCUCAACCGUAGUAAGCAUUUGAAACUGCAGGGCUUGAGUGCAGGAGAGGAGAGUGGAAUUCCUAGUGUAGCGGUGAAAUGCGUAGAUAUUAGGAGGAACACCAGUGGCGAAGGCGACUCUCUGGACUGUAACUGACGCUGAGGCACGAAAGCGUGUGGAGCAAACA
rnacentral:rRNA from 2 species